rnacentral:rRNA from 1 species
UACGUAGGGGGCAAGCGUUGUCCGGAUUUAUUGGGCGUAAAGAGCUCGUAGGCGGUUCCGUAAGUCGUGAAGUCAAAUCUCUGGGCUCAACCCAGAAUCGCUUCCGAUACUGCGGUGACUGGAGUCCGGUAGGGGAGUGUGGAAUUCCUGGUGUAGCGGUGAAAUGCGCAGAUAUCAGGAGGAACACCGAUGGCGAAGGCAGAUCUCUGGGCCGUAACUGACGCUGAGGAGCGAAAGCGUGGGGAGCGAACAGG